rnacentral:rRNA from 1 species
UACGUAGGGUGCGAGCGUUGUCCGGAAUUAUUGGGCGUAAAGAGCUCGUAGGCGGUGUGUCACGUCGGCCGUGAAAACCUGGGGCUUAACUCUGGCGUGCGGUCGAUACGGGCAUCACUAGAGUUCGGCAGGGGAGACUGGAAUUCCUGGUGUAGCGGUGAAAUGCGCAGAUAUCAGGAGGAACACCGGUGGCGAAGGCGGGUCUCUGGGCCGAUACUGACGCUGAGGAGCGAAAGCAUGGGUAGCGAACAGGAUUAGAUACC